rnacentral:rRNA from 1 species
AUUGAACGCUGGCGGAAGGCCUAACACAUGCAAGUCGAACGAGCGGCGGACGGGUGAGGAAUGUAUGGGAAACUGACUGAUGGAGGGGGAUAACUACUGGAAACGGUAGCUAAUACCGCAUACCAUCGGAUGUACCCAGAUGGGAUUAGCUAGUAGGUGGGGUAACGGCUCACCUAGGCGACGAUCCCUAGCUGGUCUGAGAGGAUGAGCAGCCCCACUGGAACUGAGACACGGCCCAGACUCCUCCGGGAGGCAGCAGUGGGGAAUAUUGCACAAUGGGCGCAAGCCUGAUGCAGCCAUGCCGCGUGUAUGAAGAAGGCCUUCGGGUUGUAAAGUACUUUCAGUCGGGAGGCGUUACCGACAGAAGAAGCACCGGCUAACUCCGUGCCAGCAGCCGCGGUAAUUC